rnacentral:rRNA from 1 species
AGGACACUCUAUACGGAGUUACAAAGGACGACAUUAGACGAAUCAUCUGGAAAGAUGAAUCAAAGAAGGUAAUAAUCCUGUAGUCGAAAAUGUUGUCUCUCUUGAGUGGAUCCUGAGUACGACGGAGCACGUGAAAUUCCGUCGGAAUCUGGGAGGACCAUCUCCUAAGGCUAAAUACUCUCUAGUGACCGAUAGUGAACCAGUACCGUGAGGGAAAGGUGAAAAGCACCCCGGAAGGGGAGUGAAAUAGAACCUGAAACCGUGUGCUUACAAGUAGUCAGAGCCCGUUAAUGGGUGAUGGCGUGCCUUUUGUAGAAUGAACCGGCGAGUUACGAUUUGAUGCAAGGUUAAGCAGUAAAUGUGGAGCCGUAGCGAAAGCGAGUCUGAAUAGGGCGUUUAGUAUUUGGUCGUAGACCCGAAACCAGGUGAUCUACCCUUGGUCAGGUUGAAGUUCAGGUAACACUGAAUGGAGGACCGAACCGACUUACGUUGAAAAGUGAGCGGAUGAACUGAGGGUAGCGGAGAAAUUCCAAUCGAACCUGGAGAUAGCUGGUUCUCUCCGAAAUAGCUUUAGGGCUAGCCUCAAGUGAUGAUUAUUGGAGGUAGAGCACUGUUUGGACGAGGGGCCCCUCUCGGGUUACCGAAUUCAGACAAACUCCGAAUGCCAAUUAAUUUAACUUGGGAGUCAGAACAUGGGUGAUAAGGUCCGUGUUCGAAAGGGAAACAGCCCAGACCACCAGCUAAGGUCCCAAAAUAUAUGUUAAGUGGAAAAGGAUGUGGCGUUGCCCAGACAACUAGGAUGUUGGCUUAGAAGCAGCCAUCAUUUAAAGAGUGCGUAAUAGCUCACUAGUCGAGUGACACUGCGCCGAAAAUGUACCGGGGCUAAACAUAUUACCGAAGCUGUGGAUUGUCCUUUGGACAAUGGUAGGAGAGCGUUCUAAGGGCGUUGAAGCAUGAUCGUAAGGACAUGUGGAGCGCUUAGAAGUGAGAAUGCCGGUGUGAGUAGCGAAAGACGGGUGAGAAUCCCGUCCACCGAUUGACUAAGGUUUCCAGAGGAAGGCUCGUCCGCUCUGGGUUAGUCGGGUCCUAAGCUGAGGCCGACAGGCGUAGGCGAUGGAUAACAGGUUGAUAUUCCUGUACCACCUAUAAUCGUUUUAAUCGAUGGGGGGAC